rnacentral:tRNA from 1 species
GGAGGUUACCGGCGAGAUUGCUACGUUGCGCCUGUUCAGGGGCCAACAACGUGGUGAAAUUUAUUCCUGGACUAAACCUGUAGAUGCUUCGAGUGGAAUGUUCUCGGACGGGGGUUCGAUUCCCCCCGCCUCCACCA